rnacentral:tRNA from 1 species
UCCUCGGUAGCUCAAUGGUAGAGCAUCCGGCUGUUAACCGGAGGGUUGCAGGUUCGAGCCCUGCCCGGGGAGCCA